rnacentral:lncRNA from 1 species
UUACUUUAUUAUUUUUUAAAAAUUUCUUUAGACUAAGAUUAAUUUUAUAAUCUGCCUAAGAUUACUUUAUUAUUGUUUUCAAUGAUGCGGCUUUCAAAUCGAUGAUCGGCUCCAUUAGACUUGAUCUACACUAUUAAAAGUAUUUGAAAACUAAAUUUCAUAAUUUUUUGACAUUAUUUCGCUAGUGAUCAAAAGGUCUCAAAAUUGACAAUUUUAAUGGUAGAUGUGAUGCGUUUGUAAAUUUAACGGUGUAAAAUAAUUCAAAUCUAAUGAAAUUUUUAUAGAAUUUUUUUUUACUAUUUAGAGUAAGAUUGGUACCUCUAAUCUUAAAUUCAAGUCUUUUAUCAUCAUUUUUUAGGAAAUUUUUAUUUUCAGCCGUUCAAUUNUUAGACUUGAUCUACACUAUUGAAAGUAUUUGGAAACUAAAUUUUAUAAUUUUUCGACAUCAUUUGGCUAGUGAUCAAAAGGUCUCAAACUUGAUAAUUUUAAUGGUAGAUGCGAUGCAUUUGUGAAUUUAACAGCGUAAAACAAUCUAAAUUUGAUAAAAUUUUUAUAGAAAUUUUUUUUCACUAUUUAGAGUAAGAUUGGUACCUCUUAUUUUAAAUUCAAGUCUUUUAUCAUCAUUUUUUAGGAAAUUUUUAUUUUCAGCCGUUCAAUUUUAGACUAUUCGUUUGAUAGGUAAAUGAUGUCGAAAAAUUAUGAAAUUUAGCUUCUAAAUACUUUCAAUAGUGUAGAUCAAGUCUAACGGAGCCAAUCGUCGAUUUAAAAGCCACAUAAUUGAAAACAACUUGGUAGCACGGAGGCCUCCGUGCUACCGAUAAUAUACCAGCCUAGCGCUCUCUCUCUCUCUCUCUCUCUCUCUCUCUCUCU